GGGCCCGUGGUCUAGCGGUUAUCUGCAAAGGCGAUCUUUGAAGAUUCUGCCGCUAACGCAGACCGCGAAUGACGCAUCCUUGACGUGGAUGAAGCCAGCGGUUCAAAUCCGCUCGGGCCCA
rnacentral:tRNA from 1 species